CCUUCUGAGACCCUCUGUGACCUUCCGAGACCAUAUUUGACAGAAGCUCAGACUGACAAUGAGGCAUUUACAAACCGUUUAUCACGGCAAGGCAGUCAGACGUCCUUGUGGGGAAAUUUAUCAAUAUGAAGACCGCCUUUAUUUUUGGCUGUCGUUGUGCUGGCGGCGGUGGCCUCGGCCGCUGAAAAGAAGGAGGACCUCAAGACCGAGGAAUCCCACCCGGUCGCUGCUUACGGAAGCGGCUAUGGCUACGGCGGUUAUGCUGCCCCCAGUUACAGCCAUACCCACUCGUACACCAGGACCUACAGCAAGCCCAGCUACGGAUACGGACACGACGAUAGCUACGGAUUCAAGCCCAGCUACGGCUACGGUCAUUCUACCUACGGCCACUCCGGCUACGGCAGCUCUGGCUACGGCUACGCCCGCCCCUCGUACGGCUACGGCCACACCAAGAGCUACGGCUACGAGCGUCCCAGCUACGGCUACUCCGGCCACGGCUCCGAUUACGGCCAUGGAUAUGGCUACGGCCGCGACUACGGCUACGGCCAUGGCUACGGCUCCGACCGCGGCCACGGCUACGGCUACUCUGGCUACAGCCGUCCCUCCUACGGCCACGGCUACUCUGGCCACGGCUCUGGCUACGGCCACUCUGGCUACGGCUACAGCGCUCCCUCGUACUCGUACUCUCGCAGCUACGGCUAUUCGGCUCCGUCGUAUGGUUACGGAUACGGCCACUAGAUGUCAGCACCUACUGGAGAUGUCAAUCAGGAGCCUGAAUGAUGUGACCUGCCAGUAUGGGGCGGCGUCAACGUGUAAGGAAAUGCCGCCAGCACAGUCUUUCUGGUUAUUUAAACUUGUCCGCUUGUAGCCGUGUGUACCUGACAACAGUGUGUACUGAAUACACCGAACAACGAGCCAGUGC
rnacentral:misc_RNA from 1 species